rnacentral:rRNA from 1 species
UACGGAGGGGGCAAGCGUUAUCCGGAUUUACUGGGUGUAAAGGGCGCGUAGACGGUAUGGUAAGUCAGAUGUGAAAGGCAGGGGCUCAACCCCUGGACUGCAUUUGAAACUAUCAAACUAGAGUGUCGGAGAGGUAAGUGGAAUUCCUAGUGUAGCGGUGAAAUGCGUAGAUAUUAGGAGGAACACCAGUGGCGAAGGCGGCUUACUGGACGAUCACUGACGUUGAGGCGCGAAAGCGUGGGGAGCAAACAGG